rnacentral:rRNA from 1 species
UACAGGGGGUGCAAACGUUGCUCGGAAUCAUUGGGCGUAAAGCGCACGUAGGCGGUUCGUUAUGUCGGAUGUGAAAGCCCUUGGCUUAACCGAGGAAGUGCAUCCGAAACUGGCGAGCUAGAGUACUAAAGAGGAUCGCGGAAUUCCCGGUGUAGAGGUGAAAUUCGUAGAUAUCGGGAGGAACACCGGUGGCGAAGGCGGCGAUCUGGGUAGAUACUGACGCUGAGGAGCGAAAGCAUGGGGAGCGAACAGG